UACAGAGGGUGCGAGCGUUGUCCGGAAUCACUGGGCGUAAAGGGCGCGUAGGUGGUGGCUUAAGCGUGCGGUGAAAGCUCGGGGCUCAACCCCGAGUCGGCCGUGCGAACUGGGCUCACUGGAGCAUAGUAGAGGCAGGUGGAAUUCCGGGUGUAGCGGUGGAAUGCGUAGAGAUCUGGAGGAAUACCGGUGGCGAAGGCGGCCCCCUGGACAAAGACUGACGCUCAGGUGCGAAAGCGUGGGGAGCAAACAGG
rnacentral:rRNA from 1 species